CUGGCGGUAGGCUUAACACAUGCAAGUCGUGCGAGAAAAUAUCUUCGGAUAUGAGUAGAGCGGCGAACGGGUGAGUAACGCGUAGGAAUGUACCUAGUAGAAGGGGAUAGCCCGGGGAAACUCGGAUUAAUACCGUAUACCUCCUUUGGGAGAAAGAAGGCCUCUCUUUGAAGCUUUCGCUAUUAGAUCAGCCUGCGUAAGAUUAGCUUGUUGGUGAGGUAAUGGCUCACCAAGGCUACGAUCUUUAGCUGGUCUGAGAGGACGAUCAGCCACAUUGGGACUGAGACACGGCCCAGACUCCUACGGGAGGCAGC
rnacentral:rRNA from 1 species